AUACGUAGGUGGCAAGCGUUAUCCGGAUUUACUGGGUGUAAAGGGCGCGUAGGCGGGGGUGCAAGUCAGAUGUGAAAUCUAUGGGCUUAACUCAUAAACUGUAUUUGAAACUGUAUCUCUUGAGUGCUGGAGAGGUAGACGGAAUUCCUUGUGUAGCGGUGAAAUGCGUAGAUAUAAGGAAGAACACCAGUGGCGAAGGCGGUCUACUGGACAGUAACUGACGCUGAGGCGCGAAAGCGUGGGGAGCAAACAGGAUUAGAUACCCUGGUAGUCCACGCUGUAAACGAUGAAUACUAGGUGUGGGGGGACUGACCCCCUCCGUGCCGCAGUUAACACAAUAAGUAUUCCACCUGGGGAGUACGGCCGCAAGGUUGAAACUUAAAGGAAUUGACGGGG
rnacentral:rRNA from 1 species